ensembl:rRNA 5S_rRNA 5S ribosomal RNA
GCUUACGGCCACACCGGCCUGAGUACGCCUGAGCUCGUCCGAUCUCGGAAGCUAAGCAGGGUCGGGCCUGGUUAGUACUUGGAUGGGAGACCGCCUGGGAAUACCAGGUGCUGUAAGCU